UACGAAGGGGGCUAGCGUUGCUCGGAAUCACUGGGCGGAAAGCGCACGUAGGCGGCUUUUUAAGUCAGGGGUGAAAUCCUGGAGCUCAACUCCAGAACUGCCUUUGAUACUGAGAAGCUUGAGUCCGGGAGAGGUGAGUGGAACUGCGAGUGUAGAGGUGAAAUUCGUAGAUAUUCGCAAGAACACCAGUGGCGAAGGCGGCUCACUGGCCCGAUACUGACGCUGAGGUGCGAAAGCGUGGGGAGCAAACAGG
rnacentral:rRNA from 1 species